ACUCUAUGAGUACAUCAGUACUUUUGACUUCCAAUCAAACGGUCUUGGCGAAAAUCUAAGAUAGAGUA
rnacentral:tRNA from 1 species